rnacentral:rRNA from 1 species
CGGCAGCGGGGGCUUCGGCCUGCCGGCGAGUGGCGAACGGGUGAGUAAUGCAUCGGAACGUGCCCAGUCAUGGGGGAUAACUACGCGAAAGCGUAGCUAAUACCGCAUACGCCCUGAGGGGGAAAGUGGGGGAUCUUCGGACCUCACGUGAUUGGAGCGGCCGAUGUCAGAUUAGCUAGUUGGUGAGGUAAAGGCUCACCAAGGCGACGAUCUGUAGCGGGUCUGAGAGGAUGAUCCGCCACACUGGGACUGAGACACGGCCCAGACUCCUACGGGAGGCAGCAGUGGGGAAUUUUGGACAAUGGGCGCAAGCCUGAUCCAGCCAUGCCGCGUGAGUGAAGAAGGCCUUCGGGUUGUAAAGCUCUUUCGCAAGGGAAGAAAACGUGUGGGCUAAUAUCCUGCGCGGAUGACGGUACCUUGACAAGAAGCACCGGCUAACUACGUGCCAGCAGCCGCGGUAAUACGUAGGGUGCGAGCGUUAAUCGGAAUUACUGGGCGUAAAGCGUGCGCAGGCGGUUGUGUAAGACAGGUGUG